ensembl:snoRNA
GCUAAGACUAGAAUCAAAUCCUGACAUAGCACUUGUCCUGUUGUACUAGAGUCCUAAGACAAAAUCAGCUGGCCUUGAUUCACUGGUAGGGGCAAUCCAGGUAAAAAACAUGA